rnacentral:rRNA from 1 species
ACAUCUCAGUUCAGACUGCAGGCUGCAACUCGCCUGCACGAAGUCGGAAUUGCUAGUAAUCGUAGGUCAGCAUACUACGGUGAAUACGUUCCCGGGCCUUGUACACACCGCCCGUCACACCAUGGGAGUUUGUAACGCCCAAAGUCGGUGGCCUAACCUUUAUGGAGGGAGCCGCCUAAGGCGGGACAGAUGACUGGGGUGAAGUCGUAACAAGGUAGC